AACGAACGCUGGCGGCAUGCCUAACACAUGCAAGUCGAACGAGACCUUCGGGUCUAGUGGCGCACGGGUGCGUAACGCGUGGGAACCUGCCCUUAGGUUCGGAAUAACUCCCCGAAAGGGGUGCUAAUACCGGAUAAUGUCUUCGGACCAAAGAUUUAUCGCCUUUGGAUGGGCCCGCGUUGGAUUAGCUAGUUGGUAGGGUAAAAGCCUACCAAGGCGACGAUCCAUAGCUGGUCUGAGAGGAUGAUCAGCCACACUGGGACUGAGACACGGCCCAGACUCCUACGGGAGGCAGCAGUGGGGAAUAUUGGACAUUGGGCGAAAGCCUGAUCCAGCAAUGCCGCGUGAGUGAUGAAGGCCUUAGGGUUGUAAAGCUCUUUUACCCGGGAUGAUAAUGACAGUACCGGGAGAAUAAACUCCGGCUAACUCCGU
rnacentral:rRNA from 1 species